UGGAGAUGACCAAGCAACAGGGAUCAUUCCUGUUGUAGUUCUCUAGACAAAGGGAAGGGUUUUUUUGUGGGUUUUUCAGGCUAUGUGGCGAUGUUCUAGAAGAGUUUAUUCCUGACGUUUUGCUGGCAUCUUCAGAGAUGCCAGCCACAGAUGCUGGUGAAAUGUCAGGAAUAAACUCUUGUAGAACAUG